rnacentral:tRNA from 1 species
GCGGGCGUAGCUCAGGGGUAGAGUUCAAGCUUCCCAAGCUUGCUGUCGCGGGUUCGAAUCCCGUCGCCCGCU